rnacentral:rRNA from 1 species
UACGUAGGGUGCAAGCGUUAAUCGGAAUUACUGGGCGUAAAGCGUGCGCAGGCGGUGAUGUAAGACAGGUGUGAAAUCCCCGGGCUUAACCUGGGAACUGCAUUUGUGACUGCAUCGCUGGAGUGCGGCAGAGGGGGAUGGAAUUCCGCGUGUAGCAGUGAAAUGCGUAGAUAUGCGGAGGAACACCGGUGGCGAAGGCGGCCAUCUGGACGAGUACUGACGCUGAGACGCGAAAGCGUGGGGAGCAAACAGG